UAUGACCAGAUCAUGUUGAGACAGUUGGUUCCCAUAGGAUCACCAAAGAUAAGUGACAUUGAACCUGGUCAGUACCUAGAUGUGUAACCACUUGGGAAUACCAAGUGCUGUAAG